GGGCACUGAAGAAAGGAACUGGA
rnacentral:piRNA from 1 species